UACAAAAUGACUCUCGGCAACGGAUAUCUCGGCUCUUGCAUCGAUGAAGAACGUAGCGAAAUGCGAUACUUGGUGUGAAUUGCAGAAUCCCGUGAACCAUCGAGUCUUUGAACGCAAGUUGCGCCCGAAGCCAUUAGGUUGAGGGCACGCCUGCCUGGGUGUCACAC
rnacentral:rRNA from 1 species